rnacentral:rRNA from 1 species
UACAGAGGUCUCGAGCGUUAGGCGGAAUCACUGGGCUUAAAGCGUGUGUAGGUGGAUCGUUAAGUACCUUGUGAAAUCCCACGGCUUAACCGUGGAACUGCUUGGUAUACUGGCGGUCUUGAGCCACUUAGGGGCUACCGGAACAAAUGGUGGAGCGGUGAAAUGCGUAGAUAUCAUUUGGAACGCCAAUGGUGAAAACAGGUAGCUGGGAGUGUGCUGGCACUGAGACACGAAAGCCAGGAGAGCAAACGGG